rnacentral:tRNA from 1 species
GCCUCUGUGGCUUAGCGGUAUAGCAGCAGACUUGUAAGCAGAAGUCGGGGGUUCAAAUCCCUCCAGAGGCU